GUCCAGCCAUCAACACAUUUGUGAAGGAAUUUUUACUCCCCAAAAGAGCGCCCCCCCAUGGCAGGAGAAAAAAGUCCAUUUUUUCUUGUCCCCUAAGGUGAAAAUACACAUUGUUGAGUGUCACGCCUGUACGCUUUGUCAAAAUGACACAAAAAUUGACACACACAUGUAUCUCAAUAAGAUCUACAAAAAAGUCCAUGCGCGCGUAUCUGUCAAAUGUACGGUUAAAGGGUUAUUCCGCAUUUUUUGCCGAUUCGCACACAUUGGAAUUUCGCUAACUCCUCCGAAGGCUUUCGUUCCACCGGCACCACAUUUGCUCAGGCCAAUCUACACCCCAUGGCCAUUAAAAGUUAUUCAAAUCAUGACGCUGCACCCCACGGUUUACGUUCUAGGGGGCGCCAAAGAUAACCCAAAAAUCCACAUUUUUAAAAGUCUUAUAACUUUUUAUUUUUGUCCUCACUGGCCUCCAAGUUUUCUAGGAUGAUGCAAUGUCCAGCCAUCAACACAUUUGUGAAGGAAUUUUUACUCCCUAAAAGAGCGCCCCCCAUGGCAGGAGAAAAAAGUCCAUUUUUUCUUGUCCCCUAAGGUGAAAAUACACAUUGUUGACUGUCACGCCUGUACGCUUUGGCAAAAUGACACAAAAAUUGACAAUCAUGUGUAUCUCAAUUAGAUCUACGAAAAAGUCAAAGAGCGCGUAUCUGUAUAAUGUACGGUAAAAGGGCUAUUUUGCAUUUUUUGCCGAUUCGCACACAUUGGAAUUUCGCUAACUCCUCCUAAGGCUUUCGUCCCACUGACACCAAAUUUGCUCGGGCCAAUCUACACUCCAUGGCCAUUCAAAGUUGUAAAAAUCAUGACGCUGCACCCCACGGUUUACGUUUUAGGGGGCGCCAAAGAUGACCCAAAUAUACAUUACAGUAGACAAAGUAGUUUUGCCCACUGAGUGGCGCCAAAGGGACUUGUCUGUGGAGUCUGUGAGUCACUAUUGGCCGUUUUUGACUACUUUAGAUUUUACCUUUAUAUUUCCUCUUACAAAAUUUUUACCUUGCCUUGCCUGGUAUCAUUUUUUUCAGCACAACCUCACCUGUGUCAAUUUACAGUUAUUUUAUCAUUUUGACAUACUAUAUUUACACAUUGGACCCAAAUUCACACACAAAACAUAAAAUCCGAGUGGAAAGAAGUAACGUUUUUACUGUGAAAACCACAAAUAUGUGUGAUGAACUGUUUUUAAAACUUAAACUUCAAAUAAAAAUUGUAAACUUCAAAACAUAUGCAAAUUUUUAACAAAGAACAUAGUAAUUUACCUCUAUUUACAUCAAAAUGCAGGCAAUGGCCCAGGUGUUCUUUGUAAAAUUAUUUACAAAACACUGUAUAGUCUCACAAAUGUCACUUUUUAUUUAUGCCACUACAAAAAAACAUGAUGUAAAUGAUGCAUGAUGUAAAACAUGAUGUAAAAAACUUGUGUAUAUCCUCCUCUAUGUUAGUCCAUGUGUAAUUUUUCCAUAAUUCUUUGUUUUUUGCAGCAUUUUUGUUAGUGUAACUGCAGAUUGUGCUGACAGUGUCUAUGGCAAAAAAAAAAAAAAAACUGAAAAUGCCUCAACAUGAACCCCUGGUGGUCUCUGAGGGUGAAACCUGCUAACUGCUGCAGCUCUGUCAGCUUCAGUCUCCCAUGCAGAGCUCGGAGCGCAUGUGUGGCUCUGCACCCUUAGCAGCGUUGCUAACUCCUCAGUAAGGAAAGCCUGCUUCAUGUCAGAGUCUCUAAACUCCAGAAGAAGUUGAUAAAAGUCACUUUCUUUCUAAAAAAAAGUCGUUAGGGGGUCUGAAAAGUCAUUGAAUCUAACAACAAAGUCGCUAGGUUUGCAACUACGUGUCCCAGACUGCAUCCCUGCUGAGAGUCCCUCCCUCCCUUCUCAUAUUGCAGGAAGAACGUAAGCGCCCGCCCCUUGUCAAUCAGUCACCAUAUAAUUUUGGAUUGGUUGUUGUGGUGAAGUUUUCCACCAAUAGGAGAGAUGUUGUGGUGUGUUUCUUUUUUCCUUUGGCAAGCCUUUUCCGCCUGUAAGACCUGUCGCUAAUGUCUGCAUGCUAUGUUUUCCUGUCUCAUACAGCGCGAUCGAGCGCCGAACGUGAUCAAAAUAAGCAGAAAACAAGUAUCGCGGACAUAAUUUAUCAUAACUCUGGUUUUAUUUGGCCUAUCAACACAAUUAAAAACUGGUAUAUAGGUUGAGGUCCUCACUUUAGAGAUAAGUUGAAACGGAGUCAACGAGGCUCCGUCUUGCAGCUACAUCCGGUUAAAUAUGUCAUGUGACUUGAACGCACACACACACACACACACACACACACACACACACACACACACACACACACACACACACACACACACACACACACACACACACACACACACUCAGAGUCUGGUUUUUAGCACCUGCAAAAACAUGCUAUUUACAUAUUUGACAAGAAUGCAGAGGCUCCUUUUGCCCCUGAAAAAAAUCUAAUUUCAAACACAACUUGACUGGUCAUUUCUCCAAAAGACAACCAUGAAGCUCCAUCCAAACCUGAAGCAGGCAGUUGGUGCAUGUGUACAGUAACCUGAGGGGAGUGAGGUGACUGCUUCUGAGGAGAACAUGAGCAGUGAAGAUUCACCUUAGAGCUAGAACAGAGACGUGCACAUGAUUAUACAGGGGCAGGGGCUCAAGUUUUUUCCAGUUGUUUAUACAAUAUGGAAAUUAAUGUGAAAUUAAAACACAAAGUAUUAAUAGAAAGGUAAUGACUGUCCUGAGUAGGUGACAGUGAUAUCCAAUAGGCUAGGCACUCAAGAGGCUGGCUGUGGCAAGUGUAAGUGAAAGCAACACGCACUGGCAGGAAGAACAGCAAACGCCGAUGAAGGAAAAGGGUCUUUGCAGUGAUGGGCGUUACCAGAGAGGGCGAUGGCCAGAGGACACAAAUGGGACGGGGAGGCAGCGCGUUGGGGGGGACGCGACACAGCUCGGGCCCGCCAGUGCCCCAACAGGGUCCUAGUGUUAUUAUUAGGGCCCGAGCGUAGCUGCUAAGCAGCUGCGAGAGCCCUCUUGUUCCUGCAUGUUUCCUUCUUUCGUUAUUAUUUUUCCUCCGCUUUAAACUGGAAAAUGGCCCACUUCCCACUGGCGAAAACUCAUGAAAUUUGGCAGGACGACCGGGCCUGGUGAAAAAUUCGAUAUUUUGAAGUCACCCAAACAAUAAAAUGCAAAAUGGCUCCAUAGCGCCCCCUAAGGUGAAAAUUCACAUGACGGCUGUACGCUUUGUCAUAUUGACACAAAAAUUGACACACACAUGUAUCUCAAUAAGAUCUACAAAAAAGUCAGUGCGGGCGUAUCUGUCAAAUGUACGGUUAAUGGGUUAUUUUGCAUUUUUUGCAGAUCUGCACACAUUGGAAUUUCGCUAACUCCUCCGAAGGCUUUCGUUCGACCGGCACCACAUUUGUGCAGGCCAAUCUACCCCCCAUGGCCAUUAAAAGUUGUACAAAUCAUGAUGCUGCACCCCACGGUUUACGUUCUAGGGGGCGCCAAAGAUAACCCAAAAUCCACAUUCUUAAAAGUCUUAUAACUUUUUAUUUUUGUCCUCACUGCCCUCCAAGUUUUCUAGGAUGAUGCAAUGUCCAGCCAUCAACACAUUUGUGAAGGAAUUUUUACUCCCCAAAAGAGCGCCCCCCAUGGCAGGAGAAAAAAGUCAAUUUUUUCUUGUCCCCUUACAUGAAAAUACACAUUGUUGAGUGUCACGCCUGAACGCUUUGUCAUAUUGACACAAAAAUUGACAAUCAUGUGUAUCUCAAUUAGAUCUACGAAAAAGUCAAAAAGCACGUAUCUGUAUAAUGUACGGUUAAAGGGCUAUUUCGCAUUUUUUGCCAAUUCGCACACAUUGGAAUGUGGCUAUCUCCUCCUAAGGCUUUCGUCCCACUGAUACCAAAUUUGCUCAGGGCAAUCUACACCCCAUGCCCAUUCAAAGUUGUAAAAACCAUGAUGCUGCACCCCACGGUUUACGUUCUAGGGGGCGCCAAAGAUGACCCAAAAAUCCACAUUCUUAAAAGUCAUUUUGGCCACUGCAGGAGUACAGAGUACUGCAGUUCUAGGGGGCGCCAAAGAUGACCCAAAAAUCCACAUUCUUAAAAGUCUUUUUGGCCACUGCAGGAGUACAGAGUACUGCAGGAUACACACACAUAUACACACACGCCAAACACACACACACACACACACACACACACACACACACACACACACACACACACACACACACACACACACUCAGAGUCUGUUUUUUAGCACCUGCAAAAACAUGCUGUUUACAUAUUUGACAAGAAUGCAGAGGCUUCCUUUUGCCCCUGAAAAAAAUCAAAUUUCAAACACAACUUGACUGUUCAUUUCUCCAAAAGACAACCAUGAAGCUCCAUCCAAACCUGAAGCAGAUAGUUGGUGCAUGUGUACAGUAACCUGAGGGGAGUGAGGUGACUAUUUCUGAGGAGAACAUGAGCAGUGAAGAUUCACCUUGGAGCUAGAACAGGGACGUGCACAUGAUUAUACAGGGGCAGGAGCUCAAGUUUUUUCCAGUCAUUUAUACAAUAUGGAAAUUAAUGUGAAAUUAAAAAACAAAGUAUUAAUAGAAAGGUUAUGACUGUCCUGUGUAGAUGACAGUGAUAUCCAAUAGGCUAGGCACUCACGAGGCUGGCUGUGGCAAGUGCAAGUGAAAGCAACACGCACUGGCAGGAAGAACAGCAAACGCAGAUGAAGGAAAAGGGUCUUUGCAGUGAUGGGCGUUACCAGAGAGGACGAUGGCCAGAGGACGCGAAUGGGACGGGGAGGCAGCGCGUUGGGGGGGCAGCGCGACACGGCUCGGGCCCGCCAGUGCCCCAACGGGGCCCUAGUUAUUAUUUUUCCUCCCCUUUGAACUGGAAAAUGGCCCACUUCCCACUGGCGAAAACUCAUGAAAUUUGGCAGGACGACCGGGCCUGGUGAAAAAUUUGAUAUUCCGAAGUCGCCCAAACAAGAAAAUGCAAAAUGGCUCCAUAGCGCCCCCUAAGGUGAAAAUUCACAGUAUUCACUGUCACGCCUGUACGCUUUGUCAAAAUGACACAAAAAUUGACACACACAUGUAUCUCAAUAAGAUCUACAAAAAAGUCAGUGCGGGCGUAUCUGUCAAAUGUACGGUUAAAGGGUUAUUUCGCAUUUUUUGCCGAUCCGCACACAUUGGAAUUUCGCUAACUCCUCCGAAGGCUUUCGUUCCACCGGCACCACAUUUGCUCAGGCCAAUCUACACCCCAUGGCCAUUAAAAGUUAUUCAAAUCAUGACGCUGCACCCCACGGUUUAGGUUCUAGGGGGCGCCAAAGAUAACCCUAAAAUCCACAUAUUUAAAAGUCUUAUAACUUUUUAUUUUUGCCCUCACUGGCCUCCAAGUUUUCUAGGAUGAUGCAAUGUCCAGCCAUCAACACAUUUGUGAAGGAAUUUUUAAUCCCCAAAAGAGCGCCCCCCCAUGGCAGGAGAAAAAAGUCCAUUUUUUCUUGUCCCCUAAGGUGAAAAUACACAUUGUUGAGUGUCACGCCUGUACGCUUUGUCAUAUUGACACAAAAUUUGACACACACAUGUAUCUCAAUAAGAUCUACGAAAAAGUCAAUGCGCGCGUAUCUGUCAAAUGUACGGUUAAAGGGUUAUUCCGCAUUUUUUGCUGAUCCGCACACAUUGGAAUUUCGCUAACUCCUCCUAAGGCUGGCGUUCCACCGGCACCACAUUUGCUCAGGCCAAUCUACACCCCAUGGCCAUUAAAAGUUAUUCAAAUCAUGACACUGCACCCCACAGUUUAGGUUCUAGGGGGCGCCAAAGAUAACCCUAAAAUCCACAUAUUUCAAAGUCUUAUAACUUUUUAUUUUUGUCCUCACUGGCCUCCAAGUUCUCUAGGAUGAUGCAAUGUCCAGCCAUCAACACAUUUGUGAAGGAAUUUUUACUCCCCAAAAGAGCGCCCCCCCAUGGCAGGAGAAAAAAGUCCAUUUUUUCUUGUCCCAUAAGGUGAAAAAACACAUUGUUGACUGUCAUACCUGUACGCUUUGUCAUAUUGACACAAAAUUUGACAAUCACAUGUAUCUCAAUAAGAUCUACGAAAAAGUCAAUGCGCGCGUAUCUGUAAAAUGUACGGUUAAAGGGCUAUUUUGCAUUUUUUGCCGAUUCGCACACAUUGGAAUGUGGCUAACUCCUCCUAAGGCUUUCGUCCCACUGACACCAAAUUUGCUCAGGCCAAUCUACACCCCAUGGCCAUUCAAAGUUGUAAAAAUCAUGACGCUGCACCCCACGGUUUACGUUCUAGGGGGCGCCAAAGUUGACCCAAAUAUCCACAUUCUUAAAAGAAUCCCCCCCCCCAUCCCCCAUCCCCCAUCCCCCAUGGCAGGAGAAACAGUCAAGUUUUUCCUGCCCAUCACUCAAUGGCUCAAUCGCAUCGCUCUCCCGGCAACACCGUAACGAGGAGCAACUUGCCGUUUGGAUAUAUCCUAGCUGUGUUUGUGCCCUCACUCCUGGUCCAGACUUUUUUCAAAUAGGACAUGCAGUUUGUCUGCAGCGAGUGUUUUGGUAGAAACUGCGCCUCCCAUUCAUUAUAAUGGGAAAUGACCACAGACAAGUGCGCACACCAUCUUUGGACCUUGAGUGUGACGCGAUCGGGAGGGGGAGGCGGUCGCGCUGGGGGCGGCGCGACGCGGCUCGGGCCCGACAGUGCCCCACCGGGGCCCUAGUUAGGGCCCGAGCGUAGCUGCUAAGCAGCUGCGAGAGCCCUCUUGUUCCUGUAGUUUCCUUCUUUUGUUAUUAGGGCCCGAGCGUAGCUGCUAAGCAGCUGCGAGAGCCCUCUUGUUCCUGUAGUUUCCUUCUUUUGUUAUUAGGGCCCGAGCGUAGCUGCUAAGCAGCUGCGAGAGCCCUCUUGUUCCUGCAUGUUUCCUUCUUUUGUUAUUAUUAUUAUUAUUUUUCCUCCCCUUUGAACUGGAAAAUGGCCCACUUCCCACUGGCGAAAACUCAUGAAAUUUGGCAGGACGACCGGGCCUGGUGAAAAAUUUGAUAUUCCGAAGUCGCCCAAACAAGAAAAUGCAAAAUGGCUCCAUAGCGCCCCCUAAGGUGAAAAUUCACACUAUUGACUGUCACGCCUGUACGCUUUGUCAAAAUGACACAAAAAUUGACACACACAUGUAUCUCAAUAAGAUCUACAAAAAAGUCAGUGCGGGCGUAUCUGUCAAAUGUACGGUUAAAGGGUUAUUUCGCAUUUUUUGCCGAUCCGCACACAUUGGAAUUUCGCUAACUCCUCCGAAGGCUUUCGUUCCACCGGCACCACAUUUGCUCAGGCCAAUCUACACCCCAUGGCCAUUAAAAGUUAUUCAAAUCAUGACGCUGCACCCCACGGUUUAGGUUCUAGGGGGCGCCAAAGAUAACCCUAAGAUCCACAUAUUUCAAAGUCUUAUAACUUUUUAUUUUUGCCCUCACUGGCCUCCAAGUUUUCUAGGAUGAUGAAAUGUCCAGCCAUCAACACAUAUGUGAAGGAAUUUUUACUCCCCAAAAGAGCGCCCCCCCAUGGCAGGAGAAAAAAGUCCAUUUUUUCUUGUCCCCUAAGGUGAAAAUACACAUUGUUGAGUGUAACACCUGUACGCUUUGGCAAAAUGACACAAAAAUUGACACACACAUGUAUCUCAAUAAGAUCUACGAAAAAGUCAAUGCGCGCGUAUCUGUCAAAUGUACGGUUAAAGGGUUAUUCCGCAUUUUUUGCUGAUCCGCACACAUUGGAAUUUCGCUAACUCCUCCGAAGGCUUUCGUUCCACCGGUACCACAUUUGCUCAGGCCAAUCUACACCCCAUGGCCAUUAAAAGUUAUUCAAAUCAUGACGCUGCAUCCCACGGUUUAGGUUCUAGGGGGCGCCAAAGAUAACCCUAAAAUCCACAUAAUUAAAAGUCUUAUAACUUUUUAUUUUUGUCCUCACUGGCCUCCAAGUUUUCUAGGAUGAUGCAAUGUCCAGCCAUCAACACAUUUGUGAAGGAAUUUUUACUCCCCAAAAGAGCGCCCCCCCAUGGCAGGAAAAAAAAGCCAAUUUUUUCUUGUCCCCUAAGGUGGUAAUUCACACUAUUGACUGUCACGCCUGUACGCUUUAUCAUAUUGACACAAAAAUUGACACACAUAUGUAUCUCAAUAAGAUCUACAAAAGAGUCGAUUCGCGCGUAUCUGUCAAAUGUACGGUUAAAGGGCUAUUUUGCAUUUUUUGCCGAUUCGCACACAUUGGAAUGUGGCUAACUCCUCCUAAGGCUUUCGUCCCACUGACACCAAAUUUGCUCAGGCCAAUCUACACCCCAUGGCCAUUCAAAGUUGUAAAAAUCAUGACGCUGCACCCCACGGUUUACGUUCUAGGGGGCGCCAAAGAUGACCCAAAAAUCCACAUUCUUAAAAGAAUCCACAUCCCCCCCCCCCCCCCCCCCCAUAUGGCAGGAGAAAAAGUCAAGUUUUUCCUGCCCAUCGCUCAAUGGCUCAAUCGCAUCGCUCUCCAGGCAACACCGUAAGGAGGAGCAACCUGCCAUUUCGAUAUAUCAUAGCUGUGUUUGUGCCCUCACUCAUGGUCCAGACUUUUUUCAAAUAGGACAUGAAGUUUGUCUGCAGCGAGUGUUUUGGUAGAAACUGCGCCUCCCAUUCAUUAUAAUGGGAAAUGACCACAGACAAGUGCGCACACCAUCUUUGGAUCUUGAGUGUGACGCGAUCGGGAGGGGGAGGCGGUCGCACUGGGGGCGGCGCGACGCGGCUCGGGCCCGACAGUGCCCCACCGGGGCCCUAGUGUUAUUAGGGCCCGAGCCAGCUGCAGAGCAGCCGGGCGUAGGCCCUAUUAUUCCCCAAGUGGUUUUUCUUUGUUUCUUUCUUUCUUUUUUCUUUUUCCUCCCCUUUGAACUGGAAAAUGGCCCACUUCCCACUGGCGAAAACUCAUGAAAUUUGGCAGGACGACCGGGCCUGGUGAAAAAUUUGAUAUUCCGAAGUCGCCCAAACAAGAAAAUGCAAAAUGGCUCCAUAGCGCCCCCUAAGGUGAAAAUUCACACUAUUGACUGUCACGCCUGUACGCUUUGUCAAAAUGACACAAAAAUUGACACACACAUGUAUCUCAAUAAGAUCUACAAAAAAGUCAGUGCGGUCGUAUCUGUCAAAUGUACGGUUAAAGGGUUAUUGCGCAUUUUUUGCAGAUCCGCACACAUUGGAAUUUCGCUAACUCCUCCGAAGGCUUUCGUUCCACCGGCACCACAUUUGCUCAGGCCAAUCUACACCCCGUGGCCAUUAAAAGUUAUCAAAAUCAUGACGCUGCACCCCAAGGUUUAGGUUCUAGGGGGCGCCAAAGAUAACACUAAAAUCCACAUAUUUAAAAGUCUUAUAACUUUUUAUUUUUGUCCUCACUGGCCUCCAAGUUUUCUAGGAUGAUGCAAUGUCCAGCCAUCAACACAUUUGUGAAGGAAUUUUUACUCCCCAAAAGAGCGCCCCCCCAUGGCAGGAGAAAAAAGUCCAUUUUUUCUUGUCCCCUAAGGUGAAAAUACACAUUGUUGAGUGUCACGCCUAUACGCUUUGUCAAAAUGACACAAAAAUUGACACACACAUGUAACUCAAUAAGAUCUACGAAAAAGUCAAUGCGCGCGUAUCUGUCAAAUGUACGGUUAAAGGGUUAUUCCGCAUUUUUUGCCGAUCCGCACACAUUGGAAUGUGGCUAACUCCUCCUAAGGCUUUCGUUCCACCGGCACCACAUUUGCUCAGGCCAAUCUACACCCCAUGGCCAUUAAAAGUUAUCAAAAUCAUGACGCUGCACCCCACAGUUUACGUUCUAGGGGGCGCCAAAGAUAACCCUAAAAUCCACAUAUUUAAAAGUCUUAUAACUUUUUAUUUUUGCCCUCACUGGCCUCCAAGUUUUCUAGGAUGAUGCAAUGUCCAGCCAUCAACACAUUUGUGAAGGAAUUUUUACUCCCCAAAAGAGCGCCCCCCCAUGGCAGGAGAAAAAAGUCCAUUUUUUCUUGUCCCCUAAGGUGAAAAUACACAUUGUAGAGUGUCACGCCUGUACGCUUUGUCAAAAUGACACAAAAUUUGACAUACACGUGUAUUUCAAUAAGAUCUUCGAAAAAGUCAAUGGCCACGUAUAUGUAAAAUGUACAGUUAAAGGGUUAUUUCACAUUUUUUGCAGAUCCGCACACAUUGGAAUGUGGCUAACUCCUCCUAAGGCUUUCGUUCCACCGGCACCACAUUUGCUCAGGCCAAUCUACACCCCAUGGCCAUUAAAAGUUAUCAAAAUCAUGACGCUGCACCCCACAGUUACGUUCUAGGGGGCGCCAAAGAAAACCCUAAAAUCCACAUAUUUAAAAGUCUUAUAACUUUUUAUUUUUGCCCUCACUGGCCUCCAAGUUUUCUAGGAUGAUGCAAUGUCCAGCCAUCAACACAUUUGUGAAGGAAUUUUUACUCCCCAAAAGAGCGCCCCCCCAUGGCAGGAGAAAAAAGUCCAUUUUUUCUUGUCCCUUAAGGUGAAAAUACAUAUUGUUGAGAUUCACGCCUAUACGUUUUGUCAUAUUGACACAAAAUUUGACAAUCACGUGCCUUGCCUGGUAUCAUUUUUUUCAGCACAACCUCACCUGUGCGAAUUUACAGUUAUUUUAUCAUGUUGACAUACUGAAUUUACACAAUGGACCCAAAUUCACACACAAAACAUAAAAUCCGAGUGGAAAAAAGUAACAUUUUUACUGUGAAAACCACAAAUAUGUGUGAUGAACUGUUUUUAAAACUUAAACUUCAAAUAAAAAUUGUAAACUUCAAAACAUAUGCAAAUUUUUAACAAAGAACAUAGUGAUUUACCUCUAUUUACAUCAAAAUGCAGGCAAUGGCCCAGGCGUUCUUUGUAAAAUUAUUUACAAAACACUGUAUAGUCUCACAAAUGUCACUUUUUAUUUAUGCCACUACAAAAAAACAUGAUGUAAAUGAUGCAUGAUGUAAAACAUGAUGUAAAAAACUUGUGUAGAUCCUCCUCUAUGUCAGUCCAUGUGUAAUUUUUCCAUAAUUCUUUGUUUUUUGCAGCAUUUUUGUUAGUGUAACUGCAGAUUGUGCUGACAGUGUCUAUGGCACAAAAAAAAAAAAAAACUGAAAAUGCCUCAACAUGAACCCCUGGUGGUCUCUGAGGGUGAAACCUGCUAACUGCUGCAGCUCUGUCAGCUUCAGUCUCCCAUGCAGAGCUCUGAGCGCAUGUGUGGCUCUGCACCCUUAGCAGCGUUGCUAACUCCUCAGUAAGGAAAGCCUGCUUCAUGUCAGAGUCUCUAAACUCCAGAAGAAGUCGAUAAAAGUCCCUUUCUUUCUAAAAAGUCGUUAGGGGGUCUGAAAAGUCAUUGAAUCUAACAACAAAGUCGCUAGGUUUGCAACUACGUGUCCCAGACUGCAUCCCUGCUGAGAGUCCCUCCCUCCCUUCUCAUAUUGCAGGAAGAACGUAAGCGCCCGGCCCUUGUCAAUCAGUCACCAUAUAAUUUUGGAUUGGUUGUUGUGGUGAAGUUUUCCACCAAUAGGAGAGAUGUUGUGGUGUGUUUUUUUUUUCUUUUGGCAAGCCUUUUCCGCCUGUAAGAGCUGUCGCUAAUGUCUGCAUGCUAUGUUUUCCUGUCUCAUACAGCGCGAUCGAGCGCCGAACGUGAUCAAAAUAAGCAGAAAAAAAGUAUCGCGGACAUAAUUUAUCAUAACUCUGGUUUUAUUUGGCCUAUCAACACAAUUUAAAAACUGGUAUAUAGGUUGAGGUCCUCACUUUUGAGAUAAGUUGAAACGGAGAGUCAACGAGGCUCCGUCUUGCAGCUACAUCUGGUUAAAUAUGUCAUGUGACUUGAACGCACACACAGACACACACACACGCACACACACACACACACACACACACUCAGAGUCUGGUUUUUAGCACCUGCAAAAACAUGCUAUUUACAUAUUUGACAAGAAUGCAGAGGCUCCUUUUGCCCCUGAAAAAAAUCAAAUUUCAAACACAACUUGACUGGUCAUUUCUCCAAAAGACAACCAUGAAGCUCCAUCCAAACCUGAAGCAGGCAGUUGGUGCAUGUGUACAGUAACCUGAGGGGAGUGAGGUGAGUGCUUCUGAGGAGAACAUGAGCAGUGAAGAUUCACCUUGGAGCUAGAACAGAGACAUGCACAUGAUUAUACAGGGGCAGGGGCUCAAGUUUUUUCCAGUCGUUUAUACAAUAUGGAAAUUAAUGUGAAAUUAAAACACAAAGUAUUAAUAGAAAGGUAAUGACUGUCCUGUGUAGGUGACAGUGAUAUCGAAUAGGCUAGGCACUCACGAGGCUGGCUGUGGCAAGUGUAAGUGAAAGCAACACGCACUGGCAGGAAGAACAGCAAACGCCGAUGAAGGAAAAGGGUCUUUGCAGUGAUGGGCGUUACCAGAGAGGGCGAUGGCCAGAGGACACAAAUGGGACGGGGAGGCAGCGCGUUGGGGGGGGGGGGGGGCGACACGGCUCGGGCCCGCCAGUGCCCCAACGGGGUCCUAGUUAUUAUUAUUUUUCCUCCCCUUUGAACUGGAAAAUGGCCCACUUCCCACUGGCGAAAACUCAUGAAAUUUGGCAGGACGACCGGGCCUGGUGAAAAAUUUGAUAUUCCGAAGUCGCCCAAACAAGAAAAUGCAAAAUGGCUCCAUAGCGCCCCCUAAGGUGAAAAUUCACACUAUUGACUGUCACGCCUGUACGCUUUGUCAAAAUGACACAAAAAUUGACACACACAUGUAUCUCAAUAAGAUCUACAAAAAAGUCAGUGCGGGCGUAUCUGUCAAAUGUACGGUUAAAGGGUUAUUUCGCAUUUUUUGCCGAUCCGCACACAUUGGAAUUUCGCUAACUCCUCCGAAGGCUUUCGUUCCACCGGCACCACAUUUGCUCAGGCCAAUCUACACCCCAUGGCCAUUAAAAGUUAUUCAAAUCAUGACGCUGCACCCCACGGUUUAGGUUCUAGGGGGCGCCAAAGAUAACCCUAAAAUCCACAUAUUUAAAAGUCUUAUAACUUUUUAUUUUUGCCCUCACUGGCCUCCAAGUUUUCUAGGAUGAUGCAAUGUCCAGCCAUCAACACAUUUGUGAAGGAAUUUUUACUCCCCAAAAGAGCGCCCCCCCAUGGCAGGAGAAAAAAGUCCAUUUUUUCUUGUCCCCUAAGGUGAAAAUUCACACUAUUGACUGUCACGCCUGUACGCUUUGUCAAAAUGACACAAAAAUUGACACACACAUGUAUCUCAAUAAGAUCUACAAAAAAGUCCAUGCGCGCGUAUCUGUCUAAUGUACGGUUAAAGGGUUAUUUCGCAUUUUUUGCCGAUCCGCACACAUUGGAAUUUCGCUAACUCCUCCGAAGGCUUUCGUUCCACCGGCACCACAUUUGCUCAGGCCAAUCUACACCCCAUGGCCAUUAAAAGUUAUUCAAAUCAUGACGCUGCACCCCACGGUUUACGUUCUAGGGGGCGCCAAAGAUAACCCAAAAAUCCACAGUCUUAAAAGUCUUAUAACUUUUUAUUUUUCUCCUCACUGGCCUCCAAGUUUUCUAGGAUGAUGCAAUGUCCAGCCAUCAACACAUUUGUGAAGGAAUUUUUACUCCCCAAAAGAGCGCCCCCCCAUGGCAGGAGAAAAAAGUCCAUUUUUUCUUGUCCCCUAAGGUGAAAAUUCACACUAUUGACUGUCACGCCUGUACGCUUUGUCAAAAUGACACAAAAAUUGACACACACAUGUAUCUCAAUAAGAUCUACAAAAAAGUCAAUAGGCACGUAUCUGUCAAAUGUACGGUUAAAGGGCUAUUUUGCAUUUUUUGCCGAUUCGCACACAUUGGAAUGUGGCUAUCUCCUCCUAAGGCUUUCGUCCCACUGAUACCAAAUUUGCUCAGGGCAAUCUACACCCCAUGCCCAUUCAAAGUUGUAAAAAUCAUGCCGCUGCACCCCACGGUUUACGUUCUAGGGGGCGCCAAAGAUGACCCAAAAAUCCACAUUCUUAAAAGUCUUUUUGGUCACUGCAGGAGUACAGAGUACUGCAAGAUACACACACAUACACACACACACACACACACACACACACACACACACACACACACACACACUCAGAGUCUGUUUUUUAGCACCUGCAAAAACAUGCUGUUUACAUAUUUGACAAGAAUGCAGAGGCUUCCUUUUGCCCCUGAAAAAAAUUAAAUUUCAAACACAACUUGACUGUUCAUUUCUCCAAAUGACAACCAUGAAGCUCCAUCCAAACCUGAAGCAGGCAGUUGGUGCAUGUGUACAGUAACCUGAGGGGAGUGAGGUGACUGCUUCUGAGGAGAACAUGAGCAGUGAAGAUUCACCUUGGAGCGAGAACAGGGACGUGCACAUGAUUAUACAGGGGCAGGGGCUCAAGUUUUUUCCAGUCGUUUAUACAAUAUGGAAAUUAAUGUGAAAUUAAAACACAAAGUAUUAAUAGAAAGGUAAUGACUGUCCUGUGUAGGUGACAGUGAUAUCGAAUAGGCUAGGCACUCACGAGGCUGGCUGUGGCAAGUGUAAGUGAAAGCAACACGCACUGGCAGGAAGAACAGCAAACGCCGAUGAAGGAAAAGGGUCUUUGCAGUGAUGGGCGUUACCAGAGAGGGCGAUGGCCAGAGGACACAAAUGGGACGGGGAGGCAGCACGUUGGGGGGGGACGCGACACGGCUCGGGCCCGCCAGUGCCCCAACGGGGUCCUAGUUAUUAUUUUUCCUCCCCUUUGAACUGGAAAAUGGCCCACUUCCCACUGGCGAAAACUCAGGAAAUUUGGCAGGACGACCGGGCCUGGUGAAAAAUUUGAUAUUCCGAAGUCGCCCAAACAAGAAAAUGCAAAAUGGCUCCAUAGCGCCCCCUAAGGUGAAAAUUCACACUAUUGACUGUCACGCCUGUACGCUUUGUCAAAAUGACACAAAAAUUGACACACACAUGUAUCUCAAUAAGAUCUACAAAAAAGUCAGUGCGGGCGUAUCUGUCAAAUGUACGGUUAAAGGGUUAUUUCGCAUUUUUUGCCGAUCCGCACACAUUGGAAUUUCGCUAACUCCUCCGAAGGCUUUCGUUCCACCGGCACCACAUUUGCUCAGGCCAAUCUACACCCCAUGGCCAUUAAAAGUUAUUCAAAUCAUGACGCUGCACCCCACGGUUUAGGUUCUAGGGGGCGCCAAAGAUAACCCUAAGAUCCACAUAUUUAAAAGUCUUAUAACUUUUUAUUUUUGCCCUCACUGGCCUCCAAGUUUUCUAGGAUGAUGCAAUGUCCAGCCAUCAACACAUUUGUGAAGGAAUUUUUACUCCCCAAAAGAGCGCCCCCCAUGGCAGGAGAAAAAAGUCCAUUUUUUCUUGUCCCCUAAGGUGAAAAUACACAUUGUUGAGUGUAACACCUGUACGCUUUGGCAAAAUGACACAAAAAUUGACACACACGUGUAUCUCAAUAAGAUCUACGAAAAAGUCAAUGCGCGCGUAUCUGUCAAAUGUACGGUUAAAGGGUUAUUCCGCAUUUUUUGCCGAUCCGCACACAUUGGAAUUUCGCUAACUCCUCCGAAGGCUUUCGUUCCACCGGCACCACAUUUGCUCAGGCCAAUCUACACCCCAUGGCCAUUAAAAGUUAUUCAAAUCAUGACGCUGCACCCCACGGUUUAGGUUCUAGGGGGCGCCAAAGAUAACCCUAAAAUCCACAUAUUUAAAAGUCUUAUAACUUUUUAUUUUUGUCCUCACUGGCCUCCAAGUUUUCUAGGAUGAUGCAAUGUCCAGCCAUCAACACAUUUGUGAAGGAAUUUUUACUCCCCAAAAG